rnacentral:rRNA from 1 species
ACCUUACCAAAUCUUGACAUCCUCUGACCCCUCUAGAGAUAGAGUUUUCCCCUUCGGGGGACAGAGUAACAGGUGGUGCAUGGUUGUCGUCAGCUCGUGUCGUGAGAUGUUGGGUUAAGUCCCGCAACGAGCGCAACCCUUAAGCUUAGUUGCCAUCAUUAAGUUGGGCACUCUAAGUUGACUGCCGGUGACAAACCGGAGGAAGGUGGGGAUGACGUCAAAUCAUCAUGCCCCUUAUGAUUUGGGCUACACACGUGCUACAAUGGACAAUACAAAGGGCAGCGAAACCGCGAGGUCAAGCAAAUCCCAUAAAGUUGUUCUCAGUUCGGAUUGUAGUCUGCAACUCGACUAUAUGAAGCUGGAAUCGCUAGUAAUCGUAGAUCAGCAUGCUACGGUGAAUACGUUCCCGGGUCUUGUACACACC